AAUUGCAAAAUGGAGUCUAUGGGCCUACUGAACAGGUUCUUCUAACCGAUCACACGUCCUUUAAAAUGAUCAUAAAAAAUAAGUGUGUGCUUCAUUUCCAUUUUGGAUUUGUCUGGCUUGACAGCUCUUUGAGUCUAUCACUGCGAGAUGCUUCCUUUGCACCUCGGACUACUUCUGUGGCUCUUUACAAGGACAACGUUCAUAUCAGAAUUCCAUGCAGUGCUGACUCCCGUCCUGGCUUUGCAUAAGGGUGGAAAUACCCUUCCUGGUGCUAUGUGCUGCCUUAGAGGACAGCAGGGGACCUCCAGCCAAACCCCCAUGUGACGGCCUGUUUUGAAGCAUUAUCCAGCAUGACCCCUCUGGCCUUCUCAAGGUCCUUUCCAGGAUUUUGCACUCCUGAUUCCCAUGUAAGGUUGCAUUCUACUGACUUCUCUAUGCCGUGGAGCAAGCUCAUUGUCCCUGACCAUGGAUAUAUUAGUAUGGGUGGAGUGCAUUGUACUCCGAUGAUACUUCUAUGCUAGCAAAUGCCUUUUUAAUACCAAUGUAAGUACUUACCACAGCUCUAGACCUUCCUGUUGUGGCAAAUAAUCUCCAUUUCUUAGGACUGCAUCUCUGUUGGAUCUCACUUUCCCCUGGCAUUUCCCUUUCCAUAGUCACACUGUGCCCCUUGUGGUGUGCUGUUUGGGAAUCUUCUGAGAAAAGGUGCUAUAUAAAUGCAAAACAUUGUCAUUGUUUGUCGUGGCACCCCCUGUUGUAUCUGCUUUCCUUCUGCUAAUUGAUUAGCUGUUGUCUAGACUGGAGCUCAUUACAUGGAGUGCUGAGGCUCAGCAUCAUUUACUUUGCAGCUAAGUCAAUCUGUGAAACAAGUGGUAGGCUCCGAAUUGGAUAAGGAACAGGUUCUUUAGAUGUAAAUGGCUUAGAAAGGGAAAAUAAAAGCUGAACUAGGUAAUGAAC
rnacentral:lncRNA from 1 species